GUCCCGGUAGCUCAGUUGGUUAGAGCACCAGCCUGUCACGCUGGGGGUCGUCGGUUCGAGCCCGAUCCGGGUCG
rnacentral:tRNA from 1 species